UAAGUUAAUUUGAGUUGUAAAAAAUAACUUUGCUCAAAUUUGAGUACAAAGAUAUAGGCGACAAUUGCGUGCCAUUUGGAACUUCAGUUUUGCUAGUUGAUCGUGUUGUUUUGGUUGCAUGUGUUAUUUUAAUUCGAUCCGCUGAAAACUGUCUCGACUCCCGACUUUCAAAUUCCGGCUCAAUUGUCUCGACUGUGGGCUGUUCCUGGAGUCCGGUUGUUGUUUCGAAGACAGAAUGCUGACAUUGGAUGGUGUUUUCUGGCUGCUGUUAGCUUUCAGCUAUUGGAAAAGGUGCCCCGGGCGAUGCGACUCAGCCGAAGACUAAAUAAACCGGCUCAAAUGUCUCGACUCGGAUCGGACUGGAGGAUGUGGGCUGUUCCUGGAGCCCGGUGGUUGUGUCGAAGACAGAAUGCUGAUAUUGGAUGGCGCUUUCUGGCUGCUGUUGGCUUUCAGCUAUUGAAAAAGGUGCCCCGGGCGAUGCGAUUCAGCCAAGGACUAAAUAAACGCCAGUUUUUUUGGAGUGUACCAAUAUAACUUGGACAGAAAUUUAUUUCAAAAUCUGCAAGAUGUUAAGGCUGUCGUGAUACAUUAGAUUCUCGUGGAAACUUUUCCUACGCAAAGGUUCCGGCGUUCCCUGGCUGAGACUUUCGGAGCAGUGCCGCGCUCGGAGGCUUUUGGAUUCCAACGCUGCUGCUAACUGUGAUGGCAGUCCAAACGUACCAUAUAGCGGUGCCGGUUCGGCUGACUAUGAACUCGGAACGGCCACUUUCCGCAGCUAUUGUCGGUUUACGGGGUGCUUUCGAAACACGUGGCGUAUACCAGUUCAAAUCUUUCUUCGUGUUGAUGUUUUUGUUUGUGAAGUUUUCGUGUAAGAUACGAUAUAUGUUCCAAUAAGUAUUAUCAAGUAUUAUCAUCAUGUUUAUAUUGACAGUCAAAUUGACUGAUUUUGUUAUACAAAACUAAAACAAAAUCGAAUAAAAGUUUGAUGCGAUUUGAUUUUAGUAUUGAUAUGUAUGGAAAAACACAUUUUUUGUUACUAUUCGAAAAUUACUCCAAUAAGAAAAAAGCGAUCAAUUUUGAAAUUUUCAGCUUAGUAAAUGGUUUGUCGGCCUGGUCUACAUGCGUGGGUAUAUCGAUCAUAGAAAAAAACAUACCGAUCAAAAUCAAUUAAGAACAUGAAUAUAAAAUUAAAGAUUACAAUAUAAAAAACACCAUUUAAAUAUCAUCUGAAUCGAAGAUUACCAUCUGUUAAAAGAGUUUAACUAUUUUAUAACAGAUUUAUAAGACUUUCUCAUAGUUUAACUACAAAUUCGAUUAAAUUUUAGAGGUUUUCAUAAAAAUCAGAACAAUUCAGGACAUUUAGGCACCAAUUUUUAAAACUCAGGACAACUCGAGAGUUUUUAAAAGAUUAAGACGGUCUCUCGAAAAUCAGGACAAAUCCCGAUAAAUUAGGUUACCUGGCACCUCUGAGCACAAGAGAAACAACAACAACAACUGAACAAUUGUAAUGCACGUCAGAGGUACCAGGUGUCCUGAUUUUUCAGGACUUGUCCUGACUUUCGAGAGGUUGUCCUGAUUUUUCUAAAACUUUCGAAUUUUCCUGAUUUUUGACAAUUUGUUUUCAAAAUGUUGAAUUGUCCUGGAUGUCAAAAAAAUCUAAAAUCACAAUCGAAUUUGUAAUUGAACUAUGAAAACUACGAACAAAUCGGUUAUGUCCUGAUUUAUGACAAAACCACCUGGAACCCCUUAUUUACGUACAUAACUAUAACUAUGCCCAGGGUGUAAGGUGUCCUGAUUUUUCAGGAUUUGUCCUGAUUUUCGAGAGGCCGUCCUGAUUUUCGAGAGGCCGUCCUGAUUUUUGAAAAACGCUUGAAUUGUCCUAAUUUUUGAAAAAUGGCCCAUAAAUGUCCUGAUUUAAAAAAAAAAUUCCAAAUUAUAACUAAAUAUAUUGCCAAAUGACGAGAACAUCAAACAAAGCUUAAAUAAAGUAGAUAUAGUAAAGUUAAAAUAUAGUAAAUAAAGCAAGCUUCGAAAACGAUGUUUUUUCACUCCUCGAUAAAAUGCGUGCUUCUUCA